rnacentral:rRNA from 1 species
AUGACUAGGGAUAACCUUAGGAAGAGACACAUCAUCAAACCCCUUGAUUGUGUUCACUGCUUGGAACAAGAGUCUUGUUCUCACCUAUUUUUUGAAUGUAUAGUUGCUAAACAUCUCUAGGCCCACAUUGAGGAAUAUUUCUCUAGUCAGAUUGGCUCAUCCUUCGAAUAUGUCGCCAGAUUCUGGAUUGCUUCCAAAACGUGCUCAGUUUUAAACACUGUUAGCUCAGCUGUCCUUUGGUGCCACUGGAAAUAUAGAAAUGCUAUGAUUUUCAGUAACACCUCCUGGAUUUCCAUUCCGCGGGUCUUGAGGUUGAUCAGGAACAUGGUGAGGAACUGGGUGAUUCUCUCCUCCGGAUCGGACAAGGACAAGUUGAUGAGCUUCGUGGAAACCCUAACAAGAUCCCUCCAGAAACCGUUGGCGAUCACUUGUGGCUGA